CUUCACCGACCCCAGCCACAGCGGCCGGUCCUCGGGCCGACCCUGCCCGUACGCGGCGAUCAACGCCUGCGCCUC
rnacentral:antisense_RNA from 1 species